CCCUUAGAUGUUCUGGGCCGCACGCGCGCUACACUGUUCGACGCAGCGAGUCUUAACCUUGACCGAAAGGUUUGGGUAAUCUUCAGCAAAGUCGAACGUGAUGGGGAUCGAUCAUUGCAAUUAUUGAUCGUGAACGAGGAAUUCCUAGUAAGUGCAAGUCAACAGCUUGCGUUGAUUACGUCCCUGCCCUUUGUACACACCGCCCGUCGCUACUACUGAUUGGAUGUUUAAGCGAGGUUCUCGAACUGCUAGUGACUGAUCUUCGGUGAGGUCGCAGUGUGGGAAGUGAACCUAGCUUUGGUGUCUAGAGGAAGUAAAAGUCGUAACA
rnacentral:rRNA from 1 species